CCUACGGGUGGCUGCAGUGGGGAAUAUUGGACAAUGGGGGCAACCCUGAUCCAGCAAUGCCGCGUGUGUGAAGAAGGCCUGCGGGUUGUAAAGCACUUUUGUUCGAGAAGAAAUCCUGUUUGUGAAUAGCAGAUAGGGAUGACGGUAUCGAAAGAAUAAGCACCGGCUAACUUCGUGCCAGCAGCCGCGGUAAUACGAAGGGUGCAAGCGUUAAUCGGAAUUACUGGGCGUAAAGCGUGCGUAGAUGGCUUUUUAAGUCGACUGUGAAACCCCUG
rnacentral:rRNA from 1 species